rnacentral:tRNA from 1 species
GGGCCCAUAGCUCAGUUGGUUAGAGCAGUCGACUCAUAAUCGAUUGGUCGCUGGUUCAAGUCCAGCUGGGCCCA